rnacentral:rRNA from 1 species
AUUGAACGCUGGCGGCAGGCCUAACACAUGCAAGUCGAACGAGUGGCGGACGGGUGAGUAAUGUCUGGGAAACUGCCUGAUGGAGCGGGAUAACUACUGGAAACAGUAGCUAAUACCGCAUACCAUCAGAUGUGCCAAGAUGGGAUUAGCUUGUUGGUGGGGUAACGGCUCACCAAGACGACGAUCCCUAGCUGGUCUGAGAGGAUGACCAGACACACGGGAACGGAGACACGGUCCAGACGCCUACGGUAGGCAGCAGUGGGGAAUAUUGCACAAUGGGCGCAAGCCUGAUGCAGCCAUGCCGCGUGUAUGAAGAAGGCCUUCGGGUUGUAAAGUACUUUCAGCGGGGAGGCGUUACCCGCAGAAGAAGCACCGGCUAACUCCGUGCCAGCAGCCGCGGUAAUUC